UUCAAUGUAAAGUGUCUAGUGCACAUCCU
rnacentral:piRNA from 1 species